CCCGCACAAGCGGUGGAGCAUGUGGUUUAAUUCGAUGAUACGCGAGGAACCUUACCUGGGCUCAAAUGUAUGUUGACGUAUUCUGAAAGGGAUACUUCUUCGGACAAUAUACAAGGUGCUGCAUGGUUGUCGUCAGCUCGUGCCGUGAGGUGUCGGGUUAAGUCCCAUAACGAGCGCAACCCCUAUCAUUAGUUGCCAUCAGGUCAAGCUGGGGACUCUAAUGAAACUGCCUACGCAAGUAGUGAGGAAGGUGGGGACGACGUCAAGUCAUCAUGGCCCUUAUGUCCUGGGCUACACACGUGCUACAAUGGCCGGUACAGAGCGCAGCGAAGCCGCGAGGCAAAGCGAAUCGCAAAAAGCCGGUCUCAGUACGGAUUGGAGUCUGAAACCCGACUCCAUGAAGUUGGAAUCGCUAGUAAUCGCGCAUCAGCAUGGCGCGGUGAAUACGUUCCCGGGCCUU
rnacentral:rRNA from 1 species